ACGAACGCUGGCGGCGUGCUUAACACAUGCAAGUCGCACGGAAAGGCCCUGCUUUUGUGGGGUGCUCGCGUGGCGAACGGGUGAGUAACACGUGAGUAACCUGCCCUUGACUUUGGGAUAACUUCAGGAAACUGGGGCUAAUACCGGAUAGGAGCUCCUGCUGCAUGGUGGGGGUUGGAAAGUUUCGGCGGUUGGGGAUGGACUCGCGGCUUAUCAGCUUGUUGGUGGGGUAGUGGCUUACCAAGGCUUUGACGGGUAGCCGGCCUGAGAGGGUGACCGGCCACAUUGGGACUGAGAUACGGCCCAGACUCCUACCGGAGGCAGCAGUGGGGAAUAUUGCACAAUGGGCGGAAGCCUGAUGCAGCAACGCCGCGUGCGGGAUGACGGCCUUCGGGUUGUAAACCGCUUUCGCCUGUGACGAAGCGUGAGUGACGGUAAUGGGUAAAGAAGCACCGGCUAACUACGUG
rnacentral:rRNA from 1 species